GUGGGGAAUAUUGGACAAUGGGCGAAAGCCUGAUCCAGCAAUGCCGCGUGAGUGAUGAAGGCCCUAGGGUUGUAAAGCUCUUUUACCCGGGAUGAUAAUGACAGUACCGGGAGAAUAAGCUCCGGCUAACUCCGUGCCAGCAGCCGCGGUAAUACGGAGGGAGCUAGCGUUGUUCGGAAUUACUGGGCGUAAAGCGCGCGUAGGCGGUUUUCCAAGUCAGGGGUGAAAGCCCGGGGCUCAACCCCGGAAUAGCCCUUGAAACUGGAAGACUAGAAUCUUGGAGAGGUCAGUGGAAUUCCGAGUGUAGAGGUGAAAUUCGUAGAUAUUCGGAAGAACACCAGUGGCGAAGGCGACUGACUGGACAAGUAUUGACGCUGAGGUGCGAAAGCGUGGGGAGCAAACAGGAUUAGAUACCCUAGUAGUCC
rnacentral:rRNA from 1 species